rnacentral:lncRNA from 1 species
GAUUUUUUGAAAAUGAUGUAAAAAGACACCAACAACAUGCCAAUGAUGUAUGUAGUACUACAUAUUAAAGUCUUAAUAAACGGUUUAUUUUAUUCCAAUUGAAUCAUCAACGACUGAAUUGGUCCGUGGUGUACUACAUAUAUAAUUUGGUUCAUUUCUAGGCAUGCCUCAUGCCCUUUUUAUCUAUAAUAACAAUAUUCAAAGGAUAGGGGAGUUUGGGCUAGCUUUUUUUUGUCCAUUUUGCCCUUCACUAUAAUUUGAAAUAAUACUUGACAAUAAUAUCAUUUUUUAAUAGCAAUAAUUUUUUU